rnacentral:rRNA from 1 species
UCGCCUGUUUAUCAAAAACAUGGCCUAUUGUAAUUUAUUUUAGGUUUAGCCUGCUCUAUGAGUAUUUAAAUGGCCGCGGUAUUUUGACCGUGCUAAGGUAGCAUAAUCAUUAGUUUCUUAAUUAGAAGCUGGAAUGAAUGGUUGGAUGAGAAAAUUUCUGUCUCUGAUUAAUAUUAUUAGAAUUUUAUUUUUUAGUGAAAAAGCUAAAAUUUAUUUGAAAGACGAGAAGACCCUAUAGAGUUUAAUAUAAAAAAAUCUCUAAAAAUAGUCUUAGGAUAGAUAGUUUUAAUUUUUUUUUAUAUUUAAUUGGGGUGAUUGAUAAAUGAAAUUAACUUUUUUAUAUUUUUUACAUUGAUUUAUGA